rnacentral:rRNA from 1 species
AACGAACGCUGGCGGCAGGCUUAACACAUGCAAGUCGAGCGCCCCGCAAGAGGAGCGGCAGACGGGUGAGUAACGCGUGGGAAUCUACCCAUCUCUACGGAAUAACGCAUGGAAACGUGUGCUAAUACCGUAUACGUCCUUCGGGAGAAAGAUUUAUCGGAGAUGGAUGAGCCCGCGUUGGAUUAGCUAGUUGGUGGGGUAAAGGCCUCCCAAGGCGACGAUCCAUAGCUGGUCUGAGAGGAUGAUCAGCCACACUGGACUGAGACACGGCCCAGACUCCUACGGGAGGCAGCAGUGGGGAAUAUUGGACAAUGGGCGCAAGCCUGAUCCAGCCAUGCCGCGUGAGUGAUGAAGGCCCUAGGGUUGUAAAGCUCUUUCACCGGUGAAGAUAAUGACGGUAACCGGAGAAGAAGCCCCGGCUAACUUCGUGCCAGCAGCCGCCGUAAUAC